rnacentral:rRNA from 1 species
GACGAGGGGUCCUAGCGUUGUUCGGAAUCAUUGGGCGUAAAGCGUGUGUAGGCGGCCAAAUAAGUCAGUUGUGAAAGCCCCGGGCUCAACCCGGGAAGUGCUUCUGAUACUGUUUGGCUUGAGUACUGGAGAGGAUAGUAGAAUUCCAGGUGUAGUGGUGAAAUGCGUAGAUAUCGAGAGGAACACCUGCGGCGAAGGCGGGUUGCUGGGCUGACACUGACGCUGAUGCGCGAAAGCUAGGGGAGCGAACGGG